AUGUCGAGUACGGGUAGAAAGUAUCCAUCCGGAAGUCAUAAAAGAAAGAAGAAGAAGGAGGCAGAUGAGGAGAAAGAAGCAUUGAGCGGAUCUCUUUUUAAAUAUUAUAAGAGAGAUACGAGCACGCCAAGAAAUCCAGAUGAGUUGGCGAUAGUUCUUGCGGGUGACCGAACUAAUGGCAAUCCAGAAGAUGAUGGUCAUACUCCUACAGAAGGCAAUGCUGACGUCAACAUGGUUGAUAGCAAUGUGAGUAUCAUGAGCCCAUAUUUAUCUGCGGCAGAAUCUACUAGUGUUGAUGAGGAACCAGUUAGUGUGGAUAUUUAUGAUUCAAGCAAUUGGGGUAAUCUUGAUAACAAAGCGAGGGACAUAUUAGUGGAAAAGGGGCCCAAAAGGGAAGAAGAAAACACUAAAUAUCCUUUGGAUGAAAAUUCAAGACAUUUUUCAUAUGGCUAUUACUCAAGAAGGAUGAGCAAUGGAGAGGUGCGUGAUAGAAAAUGGUUAGUUUUUUCAAAACAAAUAAAGAAAAUGUUUUGUUUUUGCUGUAAGCUUUUCAAUUCUGAUGAAUGCAAGAGUGCAAUGGGGAAUGAUGGGUUUUGUGAUUGGGGGCAUAUUAAUGAGAGACUGAAAGAGCACGAAGCUAGUGUCGACCAUAUUACCAACAUGAACUCUUGGAAUGAAUUGAGAGUUAGACUGAGCAAGCAUGAAACAAUUGACAAAGAGUUACAGCAAAAAAUCACAAAGGAGAAGGAACACAUAAGGAAAGUUUUGUUAAGAAUUGUUGCCAUUGUGAAAUUUCUUGGUAAGCACAAUUUGGCUUUUACAGGAUCCAGUGAGCAACUUUAUGAUGAUUGUAAUGAGAUUCUUAGGCGUAUUCAAAACAAAGAGAUCCAUCACCAUUAUCUUAGCCAUAAAAUUCAAAACGAGUUGAUUUCUCUUAUGGCUGGUGACAUUACAAAUUCUAUUCUCAAGAUUGUCAAAGUGGCCAAAUAUUUCUCUGUUAUCCUAGAUUGUACCCCGGAUGUGAGUCAUCAAGAACAAAUGAGUUUGUUGGUUCGAUGUGUUCAUAUGUCUGAUGGAAAAAUACAAAUUAUGGAGUACUUCCUUGCUUUUUUGGUAGUGGAGGACACAUCUGGUUUGGGAAUUUUCAAGGUAUUGGUUGAUUCUAUGAAAUCCUUUGAUCUUAUUGAUGAUAUUAGGGGCCAAGGUUAUGACAAUGGAUCCAACAUGAAAGGAAAAUACAAGGGGGUGCAAAGUCGGUUGCUUGAGGUAAAUCCAAGAGCUUUGUAUAUGCCAUGUGCUUGCCACAGUCUUAAUCUUACCCUUUGUGAUAUGGAUAAAUCUUGUGGUAGAGCUGUUUCUUUUUUUGGAAUUGUGCAACGAAUAUAUGUAUUAUUCAGUGGUUCUACGAAAAGAUGGAAAGUUUUUGUUAGCCAUGUGACAGAUUUGGCUGUGAAAUCUUUGAGCAAUACUCGUUGGGAGAGUCGUAUCAAAAGUGUUAAAACAAUUAGAUUUCAAGCUCCUAACAUAAGAUCAGCUUUACUUGAGUUAAGUGAAGAUAGUGGUACCGAACCCAAGGAUAGGAGUGAUGCAAAAAAAUUGUUUGAUGUGCUUGGCAGCUAUGAGUUCAUACUUGGCAUGGUCAUUUGGCAUGACAUUCUAUUUGCUGUAGAUUCAGUAAGCAGGAAGCUGCAAUCACCAUCCAUGGACAUUGAGACUGCCUUAAAGCAAAUAGAUGGUAUGAGGACUUAUUUUGACACUUAUAGAGAGGAAGGGUUUGAUUCUAGUGUGAUCAUUGCCAAAGAAAUCGCAGCUGAAAUGGGUGUAGAGCCAUCAUUUCCAGUAAAGCGUCGUGUUUCUAGGAAGAAACAAUUUGGUGAAGAUGACAAUGAUGAAGCGAUAUUGGAAGCUGAGAAGAAAAUUAGAUUUGACGAACUUGAGUCAUUCAAAAAUAUAUUUGGAUUUUUAAUGAGUUCAUCGGCCUUGAAGUCAUUGGACCGUUCUGAACUUAAAGACAGAGUUACAAAAUUUGCAAGUGCUUUCUCUUCGGGUGGUUCAUCUGAUGUUGAUUUAAAUGAUCUGAUUUCUGAGUUAAUUGGUAUGCAAUCAACUUUGCCCGAUAGAACAAUGUCUGCUAUGGAGAUUUUUUAGUUUGUGAGGGAAGCAGAUUGUUAUCCAAAUAUUGCUAUUGCAUACCGGAUUUUCUUUACUAUGCCCGUUACUGUCGCAUCAGCUGAAAGUAGUUUUUCGAAGUUGAAAUUGUUGAAGAACUACUUGAGAUCUACAAUGUCGCAAGAGAAUGGUUUGGCAACUUUAUGCAUCGAGAAAAAUUUGCUUGAUGAAAUUGAUAUGGAUACUAUCCUUAGUGAUUUUGCAUCUCAGAAUGUUAGGAGAAAAUUUUGA
rnacentral:rRNA from 1 species